rnacentral:lncRNA from 1 species
AGAGGGAGAGGGGUGGGGAGAGAGGAAGUCAUGGAAAGAUGUGGAAGGAUAGAUGGGAGCCUGGGGUGAGAGCUCAUUCCUACAGCCUGAGUCACCCAGCGUGUGGAUUCUCCCCUCCAGCUCAGGCAGGGCUCAGGCAGGUCUUUGAGGAUCUGCCCUCCCAUCCCACAGGCAUCCUCUCUGUUGUUUCUAACGUUAACCUCCUCAUUCUGGGCUCAAAAAAGAAAAAAGAUGGAAGUGCAGCAUGAUGUGCAGGCCUCUCUGGGGCCUGACCUUCAUGCUCCAGAUACUGCUUUUAUAUUAAGUAAGGUGACCCUUCUCUGCCACACUGGAGAUGCGUGGCUGUAGAUAUUGGCUUUAGGGACUACUAUUUCUGCCAGCUUCAGCAGUCUCCUAUAUCCAGCCAGGAUAGUUUAGAGUUCUUAAAUCAGGCCUAUUUAUCAAAGAAGUCCAUGGCAAUACUUCCCUGAUGGCCAUGGGACCUCAGGAGCCCACAGUCUAACUAGAGAAAGAACAUGAGAAAGAGGGAGACAGGAAAUGGGACUGAAAAUAGGAUGGAAGCUGCAUGAAAAAUGGGGGUGCAGAGGAACUCCUCUGGGGACUGCCAAAAUAUGGGCUUCUUACCUAAAAGGGCUCUGGGAGCCCAGCUGAGUGGUGGGUGACUUACGCUUGAUCGUCCCCCAGGAAUGGAUUCUUGUCAUUUGGAUUCAACCCUGCUGCCCUGUCCCCAUUUGUUCACCCCAUGUGCACCAAUGUCUCUGUCUCUGUCUUUGUUUAUGUCAUUCCCUUGACCCAGAAUGCCCUUCCCAGCCAUCAAGACCUGGCUGGGACAUCAUUUGUGCUGGAAAGCCUUCCACAGAUCUUUAUGUGGGACCUCCUUCUCUUUGGUCCCCGUGCUUCUUUGUAUCUAUUGCAACAGUAUCUGUUGGUUCUGAUAGGCAGAUUCGUGUCACCUGGGGGACCUUGUUAAAUACACAAAUCCUAGCCCUGAAUCACAAUCUCUUGGGGUGGGUUUUGGGAAGCUGCUUUCAUUGGUCUUCAUAUGUGUUUUGAAUGCCUAGCCAGGGUUGGAUAUGUCUUUUCUGGACUGUGUCUCCUGGGGGUGGGCACAGAACUUACAUCAUGGUGACCACAUGUCACUGUGCCCAGACAGCCUCCUAGGCCUGGCAAAAAGGGAUGCAGAGUGCAAGGCCCACACCCUUUAAUUCACACCAUUUUAAUUCAUUCAUAGUUCCUGCUUCAUGCCCCAGACACUAUGCUGGGUCCUGGGGAUACAAGAGCAAAACCCAACAUAGUUUGCCUUCACACGGCUUCCAGUCUAACGGGGGGAGAAUAGAGGUGACUCAAAUUCCCUACACCCACAUAAUUACAAAGUGCAGCUUGAGUGUUGUAAAGGAAAAACAAAGGUGCUCAGAGAACCUGCAAUGGGGACUCUGAUGUAGGCUGGGAGCUGUUGUGUUUGUUAACAAAGGAAAGACCCAUUUUUCCAUGCUGAGUGGCUGCCUGCUAGCAUAUACAGUGCCUCUACUGAAUUACCAAAAGGUGCACCUCCAUUUGAACUGACCUAACCUUGCACUGAACACAUGACUUGGCCGGUGGAGCUCAGGCUGGAUUUAAGCAGCUACUCCUGCCUCCCCUACCCACUUUUGGCCCAGUGCCCUUGUGCAGUGAACAACUUGGACAACCUUCUGUAGUGGCCCUGCUGCAGUCUCCUCUUAGGCAGAAAGUUCUGGCUUCUUGGCUCACCCUCACAGCUAGAAGAUUCCUUUAUCCCAGAAGGAGAUAAUUACAUCUUCUAUGGCAUAAAUCUGUUUGGACAUUUAGAGAAGAAUUUAUAUGUAUUUUCUGAAGGACUGGGUGUUUUUCUGAUCUAAAUUGAAAUGAUGAUUCUUUUAAAUAUGAUCCAAGAGAGUCCUUUCAUGUGGUAAUUCACACACACUCUGGCUGAUAAGCCCUAGACUUGGCAAAAGGUUCAAAGCAGAAACUGGGUUCAGAUGAGGCACAGGGAUACUUUUUGAUCUGAUUUUCUUCUAGCCACUGACAUUGGGAGAAUUUUGGCCUCUGAGUGGCAGUGGGCCCCAAAAAGCCUGGUAAAGUAAGAUCUUUUUUUUCUUUCUUUUUUUUUUUUUUUCUUUUUUGAGACAGUCUUGCCCUGUCAUCCAGGCUGGAGCACAAUAGUGCAGUCUCGGCUCACUGCAACCUCUGACUCCCAGGUUCAAGUGAUUCUCCU